CCCCUCCAUAUAGAACAUAUUCAUCCCCUUCCAAGAUAGUCCCCUCCCGAAUCUUGUCCUAGUAGGCAUCAGGAUCAAGCUCCAGUUUCAGGAUUACGUUCAUUCAGUUAGGCCCAGGUGAAUAUGAGGCUCUGUAGGUGCAUUUUAUCAGGUACAACACAUUGAAUUCUUUUUUUUUUUCCUGUACAGAGGUUUGUGAAAUAAACAGACGAGUCAUUUGUCCCCACAUACCCAACAUGAAAUGAUGCCGCAGACCUAGGAUGAUGGCUCUAGAUACUCUUAUUCAAAAGGGGAAAAAUUGGAAAGCCCGAGUAGUCACUGGUCCAUACAAAUAUUGAAAUCACAGGGCAUUUCCAAAAACUGUUAAGAGUUCUUAACCUAAUUGCAAGUUGAAUUGUUUAUGAGUGCUGAUACAGGAUAACAGACUUCUGCGUUAGAGAUGAAGCAUGAUUUAUUACUCACAGCAAUACCCGUAGCCAGAGUUCUCAGUGUUUGCAUAGGUUCCUUGAACCUCAAUUCGGACAGGGCGAUAGAAAGAGGGUCAAGUAAUGCCUGCAUGUGCAGUGGGUUGCAUUAUAGGAAAGGACUCAUGAAUUUAGGGAAUCCAAGUUUUUACAAAGGAGAAUAGGCUGAACUACCAUUUUCUUUGAAGGGAGACACUAUCUGUUUCAUCAUAAACUGUAAGAAACCUGCCUUUUGAUCUAGAUGGAGACACUAUAUCCCCCAAAACUUUUUACUAUAUAACCAUAUUUUAAAAAGCUAGUCCAGAACAAGGAGUCAAUUUCUGUAUGUGUGUGAUGUCCAGAAUCAUGAGAGACCUAUGAAGAAUUGUCUCCCAAUGAAUAUCUUCAAUCAUUUAGAAAUCAAGCAUGUCAAACUAUAUUCUUAUGCUUAUCAGCAUACUGUAUCCUCAUUCUUACCGGAUAUCCUUAUACCCUGGAAAUUUGGAUAAAGGGGUACAUCAAUAGCAGCUCGUUGGAGAAUAUUAACCACAAAAAUCACCUCCAUGUAAAUGCUAGCAUCCGAAGACUGAAACAGAGUGAAGAGCAGGAGAAAGAAUGAAGGAUCUUAGUAGAGUCUCUAAUGUUAACGGUUAUAUUCUAAGUGCUGAUUCAUUGUAACAUUCUCUACAUAGUCACCUGCACUGCACUCAUAGCAAACUUGGCAAUAGCAAUGGCCUGCUCUCUUAAAUUCAGCUCCGGAAGCCAUGUUCCCAAUUACACAUAAUGUAGGCCAGCAGUUGUCAAAUUUAUCUUGGCUUAGAAUUAUUUGGAGGACAUUUUAAAAUACAGACAUCUGGGUCCAAGCUCAGAGACCUAGUCUGCUAGAUAUGUGAUGGGACCCAAGAAUUUGCAUUUCUAACAUAUUCUUAUGUGAUACUGAUGUUAUUGAUCCUGGAACCUUACGUGAAGGAUGACUGCUAUAGGGUAACCUUUGACUUUUGCUAUAAAAUAGACAUAUCACCACUCACGACUUUGACUAAAAGUUACAUUUCUGAAGAAUGGUGUAUUUGUCCAGUUCCCCAGACAAGCCUGCAUUUUCUAAAAUAAAGUCACAACAUGCAAAUCUCAGCCAGAACACUUUAAGAGGUAAGAUUUAUUCAAUUCUGGACUAUUGUCUUCACAAAUAAGAAAUACAUUGAUUCCAAUAACCACUUCCAACUACCUAUCUUUGCUCAAGCUCAUGCUCCGUGUCUAAAUGAGAAAGUAAUGAAGCCAAGAUGAAGAUCUCCUUUGUACAAAUUAACCAAAUCAACUUCUGACAAUAUAAGACUGAAUUCUAUUUAUGUGACAAAAACAUUCCCAAAAAGAUGGGACAAAGCUAAUAAAGAAUACAAAUGCUUACAUUCAGUGGCUGGAGACCUGAAAAACUUGUUCCACAGACUCCCUUUUCUGGCAUGGUAGAUUGCACCAAUGAGAAGCAUUUGCACAAGGGUUGGAAGACAGCUGAGAAGAGGAUUUAAGACGAUUUUAUGAAGCCUGACUUCAGUAACCAGCCACCUCUGCCAUAUAUUACCCCAUAUAUGAAGCCUUUAGUGAGUGAUUUUUCCUCUCUAAUAAUAAUUCCUUUAUGGUGUGGUUGUAAAGGGUUAAAAGAGACAAUGCACUUAAUGGGUUUUUGUAGCAGGUAU
rnacentral:lncRNA from 10 species